GCCGUCUUAGGUCAGUGGUAGAGCGCGUGACUUUUAAUCUCGCGGCCAUGGGUUCGAUCCCCACAGACGGGG
rfam:Brassica oleracea var. oleracea cultivar TO1000 chromosome C8, whole genome shotgun sequence